rnacentral:lncRNA from 1 species
GCAGUAUCAAUUAUUUCCUAAGGCUGGUGGCAACGUGAACCUGGGAAGGCAGAAACAGAAAUAGCCGGCUGGGCUGCAAGCUGUGCUCCUACUCCUCCCCGACUUGCCAAGCACAGGGUGUGAAGAGCUCUGGGCUAGAGGCUCCCGUGGAGCAGCUCAUGCUUCAUGACAAUCCUGGGAGUGCUGCUGUCACCACCCUACCUGACACAGGAGGGAAGUGAAGCUCCCAUGCAGGUGGCACUAAAAGCAAUCAGGAAGAGGCUGUCCCUUUAAUAGAUGUGAUGGAGAACCUGGCUUAGUGUAUGGGGAAAAAUGAAACUGGGUACUUCACUGGAACCCCCUAUGAAGAUGGACUCCAUGUUAAUUACAGACCUAAAUCUAAAAGAGCCGUUUGCACAUAUUUGAGUUUGGGGCUGAGAUGUGACCAGAUGACAACACCCCCAUUCUUGCAGCUCCAUCAGAGGGACAUCCUUUCUUCCCUGGAUGAUGCUGGACACCAGAGGAUGAAGAUAGCAGAAGCGCCACCAAGGAAGUCCAUUUUAAUCACAUUUUAAGUGAAGUGCUAAAAGUGGAGAUGUGGAUGUUUAAAUUUCUUCCCCUCUCCCACACCAGCCUUUGGCUCAGUGUAAGCCAGUGAAUGUGAGGCACAUUUCCGGCCUUACGUCCUCUUCAUACUACAUAUUUCCAUCUCAGGCCCCUCAUCAUAUUUGGGAGAAAAUUGAAGGAGGAGUUGGAAGAACUGGUUUGAAAGUUUUAAUGAUACCAUUUUUUAAAACAAACUCUCACUGAGUGUCAGGUUUGGGACCAGAUGCAAGGAAAGCAGAGGGGGAAUAAUGCAUAUUUACUGGUUAAACAGAGGUUGGAUUCAUGAAGGAUACUGGUAAGUACAUCCAUGGUGAAGGUAUGGUG